rnacentral:tRNA from 1 species
GGAGAGUGAUGGGUGCCUGGUGGCCUCCGCGGUCUUCAAAACCGUUGUGACUUCUAACCGGAGUCAGGUUGGUUCGAUUCCUUCCCUCUCCGCCA